AGCUUUGCACCGUGGCAGUAUCGUAGCCAAUGAGGUUUAUCCGAGGCGCGAUUAUUGCUAAUUGAAACAUUAAAGACGCUGAGAUAAAGGUGAACCUGGAAUAAAACAAGAUCGGUGGGAUCAAGCUAUGAAAAUAAUAGAACAUU